rnacentral:rRNA from 1 species
GACGAGCGCUGGCGGCGUGCUUAACACAUGCAAGUCGAACGAUGAAGCCCAGCUUGCUGGGUGGAAGAGUGGCGAACGGGUGAGUAACACGUGAGUAACCUGCCCAUCACUCUGGGAUAAGCGCUGGAAACGGCGUCUAAUACUGGAUAUGAACAGCGGCCGCAUGGUCAGUUGUUGGAAAGAUUUAUUGGUGAUGGAUGGACUCGCGGCCUAUCAGCUAGUUGGUGAGGUAAUGGCUCACCAAGGCGACGACGGGUAGCCGGCCUGAGAGGGUGACCGGCCACACUGGGACUGAGACACGGCCCAGACUCCUACGGGAGGCAGCAGUGGGGAAUAUUGCACAAUGGGCGCAAGCCUGAUGCAGCAACGCCGCGUGAGGGAUGACGGCCUCGGUGUAACUCUUUAGUAGGAGAGCGCAGUGACGGUACUGCAGAAAAGACACCGACUAACUACGUGCCAGCAGACCCG